rnacentral:tRNA from 1 species
GCACCCGUAGCUCAGCUGGAUAGAGCAUCUGACUACGAAUCAGAAGGUCGGGCGUUCGAAUCGCUCCGGGUGCG